AUUGAACGCUGGCGGCAUGCCUUACACAUGCAAGUCGAACGGCAGCACGGGAGCAAUCCUGGUGGCGAGUGGCGAACGGGUGAGUAAUAUAUCGGAACGUGCCCAGUCGUGGGGGAUAACGCAGCGAAAGUUGUGCUAAUACCGCAUACGAUCUACGGAUGAAAGCGGGGGAUCGCAAGACCUCGCGCGAUUGGAGCGGCCGAUAUCAGAUUAGCUAGUUGGUGGGGUAAAAGCUCACCAAGGCGACGAUCUGUAGCUGGUCUGAGAGGACGACCAGCCACACUGGAACUGAGACACGGUCCAGACUCCUACGGGAGGCAGCAGUGGGGAAUUUUGGACAAUGGGGGCAACCCUGAUCCAGCCAUGCCGCGUGAGUGAAGAAGGCCUUCGGGUUGUAAAGCUCUUUCGGCCGGGAAGAAAUCGCAUGGGUUAAUACCCUGUGCGGAUGACGGUACCGGCAUAAGAAGCACCGGCUAACUACGUG
rnacentral:rRNA from 1 species